CCACCAGACUCCUACGGGAGGCAGCAGUGGGGGAUAUUGCACAAUGGGGGGAACCCUGAUGCAGCGACGCCGCGUGGGUGAAGAAGUAUUUCGGUAUGUAAAGCCCUAUCGGCAGGGAAGAAAUUGGACGGUACCUGACUAAGAAGCCCCGGCUAACUACGUGCCAGCAGCCGCGGGAAUACGGAGGGGGCAAGCGUUAUCCGGAUUUACUGGGUGUAAAGGGAGCGUAGACGGUUCUGCAAGCCAGAUGUGAAAGCCCGGGGCUCAACCCCGGGACUGCAUUUGGAACUGUAAGGCUAGAGUGUCGGAGAGGCAGGCGGAAUUCCUAGUGUAGCGGCGAAAUGCGUAGAUAUUAGGAGGAACACCAGUGGCGAAGGCGGCCUGCUGGACGAUGACUGACGUUGAGGCUCGAAAGCGUGGGGAGCAAACAGGAUUAGAUACCCUUGUA
rnacentral:rRNA from 1 species